GAGCAGGUGCGAAAGCAGGUCAUAGUGAUCCGGUGGUUCUGAAUGGAAGGGCCAUCGCUCAACGGAUAAAAGGUACUCCGGGGAUAACAGGCUGAUACCGCCCAAGAGUUCAUAUCGACGGCGGUGUUUGGCACCUCGAUGUCGGCUCAUCACAUCCUGGGGCUGAAGUAGGUCCCAAGGGUAUGGCUGUUCGCCAUUUAAAGUGGUACGCGAGCUGGGUUUAGAACGUCGUGAGACAGUUCGGUCCCUAUCUGCCGUGGGCGCUGGAGAACUGAGGGGGGCUGCUCCUAGUACGAGAGGACCGGAGUGGACGCAUCACUGGUGUUCGGGUUGUCAUGCCAAUGGCACUGCCCGGUAGCUAAAUGCGGAAGAGAUAAGUGCUGAAAGCAUCUAAGCACGAAACUUGCCCCGAGAUGAGUUCUCCCUGAGACUUAAAGUCUCCUGAAGGAACGUUGAAGACGACGACG
rnacentral:rRNA from 1 species